rnacentral:lncRNA from 1 species
GCCCAGCUUGGCCUCCCAAAGUGCUGGGAUUACAGGUGUGAGCCACCAUGCCCAGCCUGCUGGCACACAUUCUAAAGAGAGCCAACUGGCACAACCUGAGGACUUCUGAGAGGACCAGAGCACCAGUGGCCUCCCCAUCCACCUUCCCUCCCUUCUCCUCCAGGUUACCUAAGGGAACCCCAGAGGAAUUCAAGGAGGAUGGGGUGAUUCUGAAGCUACGGUCCAGCAUGGCAUGCUAUGGUCUUGAAGCCUAUGAAAUUCACUCUUCAACAAACUUGGCAUCUACGUUAAGCAUGUGAAUGUACAGAGUUAUCAAUCAACAAUAGCCUUUAAGAUUAUUGUAAUCCCCUAAGUACUUCGGCCCCAGGUAGCCACCCACUGCUGGAUGUCAGAGGACAUCACGGUGCUCUUUCCUGCCUGCACCCCUAGUCUGGAAUGCUUACCCCACAUCUCUGCUGAGUGAACUCCUUCCUAUUCAUGCUUCAAGACCCAGCUCAGUCCUGGCUCAGCUGACCCCUUGGUUCCUGUGUCUGUUCCCUGCUGGGCUGCAGGUAACCAAUUGAAAGAUAAGAUACCAUAGACAGACAUCAACUUUAUUCCUGACUAAAGCUCAAAAGAAGGGCGUGGCGUAGAUUUACAGUGACCAUCCUAACACUCACGCGCAGAGUCACACGGUCCCACACUGGGCUGGACCAGCCCUGCUAAGCCCACAAGAGGGAGAAGAGUGGAAAUCCCCUCAUCUCAAAGGCAACAUGAGAUUGGAGAAUGUACUCUCAAAUCCCCAAACAGCAACAGAAUUGUUCUGCUUGCUUCAGAGCAGAGGCUCCGCAGCCCUUUCCAGACCUCUCCCAAGCGUGGAAAUGGACGAAGGGCUGGAUGGGGCUCAGAGGGGAGGUCAGGCGGGACUCCCUCAGACAGCAGCUGGGGUUCCUCUGUUCCAGGCCCAGCUCUCACUGAAACAGGAGAGGGUGUGAAGGAAUGGAUUUGGAACUGUCAAGAACUCCUUCCUUAGUGGGCAGUGGAGGAGUGUCCACUGGCCUGCAGCCAGGCACCUCUCUCCCCCAGCCUGGGUCACUGGCAAGGGAGCAAGAAGAGUUCUGGGCUCACAGCAGGCAGUGGAGUGUAGUCACAGAGCCUGAUCCGGCUUGAAAUCCCAGAUCCUUUGCUUACUAGGCUGUGUGGCCUUAGGUGAGUUACUUAAUCUCUCCGUGCUUCAGUUUCUGCAUAUGUAAAACAGGGAUAAUAUCUAGCUCACUGGGUUAUGAUGAGACGUAAGUAACUUCAUACAAACCCCUUAGGACUGAUGCCUGGGCAUUUCUAAGUACUCAGUGAAGGCAAGCUGCUGUUUUUAUGGGCCCAGGUCUAGGAAAAAAGAAUCAAACAGCCAGGGGAAAGGGGAUGCUCUCCACUGUAUAUUAAGUUCUAUCAUAGGGACCAUUUUAGCUAAACACAGAAAAACAGAGGAGGGGGCUGGGUGUGGUGGCUCAUGCCUGUAAUCCCAGACCUUAGGAGGCUGGAUUGCUUGAGCCCAGGAGUUCGAGACCAGCCUGGGCAAUAAAGUGAGACCCCCAUCUACAAAAGA